CCCUGAUCCAGCAAUGCCGCGUGUGAGAAGAAGGCCUUCGGGUUGUAAAGCACUUUUAUCCGGAACGAAACGUGCGGGGUGAAUAGCCUCGUAAACUGACGGUACCGGAGGAAUAAGCACCGGCUAACUUCGUGCCAGCAGCCGCGGUAAUACA
rnacentral:rRNA from 1 species